CUACGUGCCAGCAGCCGCGGUAAUACGUAGGUCCCGAGCGUUGUCCGGAUUUAUUGGGCGUAAAGCGAGCGCAGGCGGUUAGAUAAGUCUGAAGUUAAAGGCUGUGGCUUAACCAUAGUACGCUUUGGAAACUGUUUAACUUGAGUGCAAGAGGGGAGAGUGGAAUUCCAUGUGUAGCGGUGAAAUGCGUAGAUAUAUGGAGGAACACCGGUGGCGAAAGCGGCUCUCUGGCUUGUAACUGACGCUGAGGCUCGAAAGCGUGGGGAGCAAACAGGAUUAGAUACCCUGGUAGUCCACGCCGUAAACGAUGUCGACUUGGAGGUUGUGCCCUUGAGGCGUGGCUUCCGGAGCUAACGCGUUAAGUCGACCGCCUGGGGAGUACGGCCGCAAGGUUAAAACUCAAAUGAAUUGACGGGGGCCCGCACAAGCGGUGGAGCAUGUGGUUUAAUUCGAUGCAACGCGAAGAACCUUACCUACUCUUGACAUCCAGAGAAUUCGCUAGAGAUAG
rnacentral:rRNA from 1 species